CCGAGUGUAGCUCAGUUGGUAGAGCGAUUGACUGUAGUGUUCUAUACUGUGUUUCGGUAUACGCUUCUAUACUGUGUUUCAGUAUACUCGGAAAUCAAUUGGUCGCUGGUUCGAUUCCGGCCACUCGGA
rnacentral:tRNA from 1 species